GAGGAAGCCGGUGGAACUCCGGCACGGUCCCGCCACUGUGAGCACGGCAGCAGCACAACGCACCACGCCGCCGAGCGAGUCAGGAACUC
rnacentral:ncRNA from 2 species